UAAUCACGCAAAACAAGGUCACCAAGUCUCGAGUAAACACCACAAUGAAACCAAGAAAACCAUUUGAAAUCCUCUCUAUUUUUCUUCCUCGGUAUUCCAAAGUACAUAAUAUCAUUCUUAUAUAUAGACAAAGAUCAAAGCCGAACGCCUACAGAUAGAUGGCAAAGCGCAUGGCCUCCCCGACCAUCAAAUCACCUACCUCCGCUGCAUGGAGACGGCCCCCUGCUUCCAUGUCCUCAGCCUGGCAUGCAAAGCAAGUCGCUACCGCCAGCGGCGCACGAGCGAUCGCCAGCAGCGUCGCGAGAGCUCCCCACGGGCGGCGCGCGGCCGCUGCAUCCUCGGGAGUGAGCGCCAGAGCCGCCUCGUCGAACACCCGUGCGCUGCGCUUCUUGGGCCAUCUCAGCCUCCUCGUCACGGCCGACAGGAGCUGCAGCAUGGCUACCACCGGGAGCUGUAUCAAGUCAGAAAGGUAAUGGAAGAUGGUUUGCUUCUACCGACACCUCCAAACUUCUCCCUGCUCUCGAGGGGAAUUCUAAUGAGCAGGCGAUGGGGGUUGGCCACUGCCUGCUCUCCUCUUUUUGCUGGUGCCUCUCUACCGAGAGGUGCAAUGAUUUGCUAAAGCAAGCACGAUAGGGAUGCACAUACACGACGAAGUGACUCCCCUGGGAGUCUAAAUGGAGACCUUGGAUAUGAUCAUGUUCCAACUUAGGCCAAAUGGUUCUACUUUUUGCGUUAAAUCGAACCCAGUUCAUCCCUUAAAAGGAAACCGCAACCUGUUACUGAUUUCCUACAGAAACAGGGAACAAUCUACCAUAACAAUUGGUUUAGAUGAUCACAUCUUCGUCAGAAUGUAGAGAUGAACCAAGUGGGAACAAAGAGUGCUGAAUGAGUGCGUUACAGUGAGAUGGAAAAGUGGUGAAGUGAAAGUGAUUUCUUGAUCUCAUUUUUCCACUACGUUAUAUUAUAUUGGGUGAAUUGUAGUUGAGGUGGACCGUCAUCAUCCCCAAUUAUGAGAAAGUCAAAUGGCAUUAGCAUGUAAGGUCAAGCACUUACCAAGCAAGAUGGCAACUAGUGGCGUUUCAAAGGGAAUGAUGGCAUGCACUUCCUCCCGAACAGAAGUCUAAACCACAGACUUCAUAGUGGGAAGAGUCUUUUUGGAUGAAAUGGAAUAUGGGAGUCGAGUUGGACAAGUUGACGGGACUCUCUGCUGGGACUCUCUGGGCUUUGCUCGAGGCCACUUUUGAAGAUCACAUUUCUUGUCAUGGUAUCUUCCACCUGAUGGAUCGAGUAGCUGCUGAAACUUGAUUUGCAACCUUGGAAGAGACGAGAGAUAGAUUUAGUCCAUAGGAAGAGAAAGCAGGAGCAGGAUCUCCUCCUCGUAGGUUAGGGCGUUGCACGCACUGCAAUAUGCAGAUAACAACGCUCAGACUAAUUUGGGUGCAUGGAAAGUGGACAAGGAUUAGGUUUCUCGGCCAAAAGGCUUGCUCAUGAAUCCAGCUGUGGCAGGCUUUAUGAUCACAAAGUGAAACAGCUUUUGGAACAUAUGUGUGGCUGCAGAUGCUCAUCCAUCAUCUAUCGGCUUUGUAGGUUCCUUGGUUUGGCAAGGCAAGCUUCGUUUGUUUAGUAGCAGCAGGUGCAGACAAGAAGUAACGUGUUUGGUCCGCUCUACUGGCAAUGAUUAAAAGGUCGGAUUCUACGUUCCGCAUCCGAUCACUUUUGCUGUUGCCCUCGGCGAGCAAACUUGUGUGGCUUCUUCACUUGGGAUAAGAUGAGGUAGAAGAAGGAGAAUGCUGGUUGAAAGCACAGUCCUUGCGAUGGAUAAGCAUGCGAGCCAAACUAUGAAUCACAUUAGUUAUCUCUGCUUUUGUUUUUUUUAUUUUUUAUUUUUUAUUUGUUACCCAUUAGUCUUGAUCUUAGUGGUUGAGAGAUCCAUUCCUGUC